UACGGAGGAUGCAAGCGUCAUCCGGAUUCAUUGGGUUUAAAGGGUGCGUAGGCGGGCUAUUAAGUCAGUGGUGAAAUCCUGCAGCUUAACUGCAGAACUGCCGUUGAUACUGAUAGUCUUGAGUUUGGUUAAGGUAGGCGGAAUGUGUAAUGUAGCGGUGAAAUGCUUAGAUAUUACACAGAACACCAAUUGCGUAGGCAGCUUACUGAGCCGACACUGACGCUGAGGCACGAAAGCGUGGGGAUCAAACA
rnacentral:rRNA from 1 species